UUUUUUCCUCAACGGUACAUAUGGUAUAAACUGGAAACCUUGAACAAACACCAACCCUGAAUCCGAAAAAUUGAUGACGUGCAUGCCAUUAGCAGCCAGUGAUGCAAGACACAGAGUCAGAGGAAUGCAGCAUAUGAUGCAAUUGAUGGCAGUACAGAUAGCAGGUUGAUCUCCAAUGGGCAGCAGACAUGGAAAGAAUGUUGCAACCUGACGCCACUUCAGCGGUACAAAGUCUAUGGAUUCAUUUGACGACUGAGCCGCCAUAGCAGCAGAUCACUGACAGAACAGCAGCAGUGCUACAAGGGGUCUCAGCUGUCCGAUACAGCAGAGAGGAAGACAAGCUGAGACAAAGAACAAAGACAGUGACACAGGAUGAGUAUCUACAGUUGUGUAACAAGAUGCUAUUAGUG